rnacentral:rRNA from 1 species
AUUGAACGCUGGCGGCAUGCCUUACACAUGCAAGUCGAACGGUAACAGGUCUUCGGAUGCUGACGAGUGGCGAACGGGUGAGUAAUACAUCGGAACGUGCCUAGUAGUGGGGGAUAACUACUCGAAAGAGUGGCUAAUACCGCAUGAGAUCUACGGAUGAAAGCAGGGGAUCGCAAGACCUUGCGCUACUAGAGCGGCCGAUGGCAGAUUAGGUAGUUGGUGGGAUAAAAGCUUACCAAGCCGACGAUCUGUAGCUGGUCUGAGAGGACGAUCAGCCACACUGGGACUGAGACACGGCCCAGACUCCUACGGGAAGCAGCAGUGGGGAAUUUUGGACAAUGGGCGGAAGCCUGAUCCAGCAAUGCCGCGUGCAGGAUGAAGGCCUUCGGGUUGUAAACUGCUUUUGUACGGAACGAAAAGCCCCGGGUUAAUACCCUGGGGUCAUGACGGUACCGUAAGAAUAAGCACCGGCUAACUACGUGCCAGCCGCCGCCGUAA